rnacentral:misc_RNA from 1 species
GAAUUAUAUUUUUACAUAAUUCCUGAAAUUAGGUCAAAACACAUUUCGGAAGGGAUCUGCAUAGAUAAAUACAUUAGUUGCCCUCAUUUUAUAUCUAGAUUUUUUUUGUUAAAUAGAAAUCCGUAUUUCCUCUCCCUAAAUACGAACCUAUUAAUACACCAUUAAUUCGCCCCAAAAUUAAAUUGCAGUUAAUUGAAUUUUAAGCAGGAAAGAAAACAAUCAUGGUUGGGAUUGACAAAUGAGCGACAUUAUUCCAGGCCCGUGCACUCCCUGUAGCAGUCGGCCAGUUCAUGCUUUCAUGUCCUUUCUUUCUUGCUUAAUAGCCUCGUAGGAUAUCAUUACCUCUUUGAACUUUGCCUCAGCAGCCGCUUUAUUAUCUUGGUUCUGAUCUGGAUGGAACUCCUUUGCCUUGACCCUGAAAGCUUUCUUAAUCUCAGCUUCUGUAUAUGGUGUUUUUCUGGACCUAUCAAGGCCCAGAACUGAGUAAUGAUAUGACAAUGGGUAGCUUGCAUUCUCUCUUGGAGUCCUAAAGUUAGUCCUCUGUUCCCUGAAGGAUGCUUCAGCCUUCCAAUACCAAUCAUCUCGCUGAAAAUGCUGAUGAUAUGCACCUGGACCAUUUUCCCUCCAGCUUUCAUAACUUCUCUUGUACUUGUUCCUCUCUCUAUUAAACACACUUUGCAUGCGCCUUAUUCGUUCUACUCUCUCCCUUUCCUCUUCAUAUUCCUCUUGCAUUCGUCGAUUGUUCCUUUUCCAUGCUUCCUCCUGAAAAGUUGACCGGAAAGAACUGCCAGUUCCUCCUUUCCAUGAUGAUUGUGACCGUUUUAACUGAGUAUUGAACCAUUCAAGAGUCCUCCGCAGCUGACCAACAGCGAAAGUGGUAGCAGUGGCGCCAAUUAGACCGAAUAGAAAUACUCCCCAAAGUUUCAUAUACUCUGCUUUCUCUUGAUAAGGUCUGUUUGGCGAUUGCCAUGGAUUGUCCUUAUCUCGACUAAUAUCUUCUCCUCCCAUAUUAUUAAUGCUACUUCAAUAUCAAUUCUCAAAGAUUCCUCUCGAGUAAAUUACAAAUCGAAAUUCGAAACCCUAAGACCAUAGUUAGGGUUUCUCUUGAAUAUGUAAUUUUUCUUGCACCGCCUUUUGAAUGAGAGUGUUUGGUAUCCGAGAAAGAGAGAUUCAGAAACAUGUAAUUCUAAUUCCUAUUUAGGCUUCAU